rnacentral:rRNA from 1 species
CUACGGGUUGCACCAGUGGGGAAUAUUGCACAAUGGGCGCAAGCCUGAUGCAGCCAUGCCGCGUGUAUGAAGAAGGCCUUCGGGUUGUAAAGUACUUUCAGCGGGGAGGAAGGGAGUAAAGUUAAUACCUUUGCUCAUUGACGUUACCCGCAGAAGAAGCACCGGCUAACUCCGUGCCAGCAGCCGCGGUAAUACGGAGGGUGCAAGCGUUAAUCGGAAUUACUGGGCGUAAAGCGCACGCAGGCGGUUUGUUAAGUCAGAUGUGGAAUCCCCGGGCUCAACCUGGGAACUGCAUCUGAUACUGGCAAGCUUGAGUCUCGUAGAGGGGCGUAGAAUUCCAGGUGUAGCGGUGAAAUGCGUAGAGAUCUGGAGGAAUACCGGUGGCGAAGGCGGCCCCCUGGACGAAGACUGACGCUCAGGUGCGAAAGCGUGGGGAGCAAACAGGAUUAGAUACCCGCGUAGUC